GACGAACGCUGGCGGCGUGCUUAACACAUGCAAGUCGAGCGGAAAGGCCACUUCAGUGGUACUCGAGCGACGAACGGGUGAGUAACACGUGAGUAAUCUGCCCUUGGUAUGGGGAUAGCCACCGGCAACGGGGAUUAAUAUCGGAUACGACCACUCCAGGCAUCUGGUGGUGGUGGGAAGUUUUUCGGCCAGGGAGGGACUCGCGGCCUAUGAGCUUGAUUGUGAGGUAAUGGCUCAACAUGGCUUCGACGGGUAGCCGGCGUGAGAGGGUGAACCAUCACACUGGGACUGAGACACGGCCCACACUCCUCCGUAAGGGAGCAGUGGGGAAUAAUGAACAAUGGACGGAAGUCUGAUCCAGCAACGACGCGUGCGGGAACACGGCCGUCGGGUUGUAAGCCUCUUUCCGUAGGGACGAAGCGAAAGUGAGGGUACCUAAUAAAGAGGCACCGGCAAAGUACGUG
rnacentral:rRNA from 1 species